CCCAUUAAAAACUGAAAGACCUUAUUAUCAUCACUUUCCUGCACUAUACCAUCUUUUGCAGCGCAAAUACACCUUUAACCAUGAUUAACACACAUAGAAUCAAGCUCAUCCCAUAGACCUUUUAACUUAUUAAAAUAGGAAGCUAUAUCAAAGGACCCUUGAGAGGUGUGGGACAACUCUCUUUUCAGUUCAAAGAUUUUGGUCCUGUUUGCA
rnacentral:lncRNA from 1 species